ensembl:lncRNA
CCCCCCCCCCCCCCCACGGAGCUGUGGUAAGUGACACCUGCCUCGCCCCCCCUCGAUGGAGUCACUCCUCCCGGCCGGCACACGUCAGCCCGAUGAAUGACACACACUGUGCCAACCCAGCUGUCAUGGAUCACCAGGACUGACUACGGGGGUGUCGAGGGGGUGACAUUUUUUUUUGCACUGUAUUUAUCUAAAAUUUUCCCCGGCAGAAGCACAUAAAUCAUUUAGGGAAAAUUAUGAUAAUAAUAAUAAUGAACUUUAUUUAUAGAGCACUUUUUAAGAUUUGUAAGUGCUUCACAAAAGGCAGCAAAAUAACACAUUCAUAAAUCAUCAGCUUAGCAAACAGACAAUCAAUGAAUAUUUUUUCCAUAUUACAUGAGGAGAAACAUGAGAUAGAAGAGAAGAUAUUGGAACUUAAAGGCACAGCGUAGUACAUAAGCACGAAUGGAAAAUAAUAUUUAAGAGAGACUGUCCACCCGAACUCCAGAGCUCCACGGCCCUGUAGUUGCUCUCGGGCCUCUGGACCCGACAAAAGAUCUCCUCUAGCGGAUUUCAAAGUAUGUGCAGCAUGCAGAGGUUUUUUAAUGGCUUGGGGAGAAAUUUAAAAUGUAUGUUAAUCUAUUCUGAAACAUGCCGGGUAUCAGUGGCAGCGGAGUUCUGUACUGCCUGGAUUCCAGCAACAGAUAGUUGGUUCAGGCCAGUAAAGAGGACGUUCUUUACUUCUAGACUUUUUAUAUUCAUUUGUUUAUGCACUUUACCACUUGUAUGCACAUAAUAGUUCUGGGUUCAGCUUUUUUGCCCUUGUUUCUUUUUGGUUUCUUUUUACUUCUGUGUCUAAUUUCUAUCUUGAUUGGCUAAUUUAAGAACAUGAAGACCACAAACACUAACAACAUGUACUUUAUUACAGUACAAUGACUUUGAUCACAUAGCGAACGGUGGGAUUCAAGGACGAAUUAUUGAACCCAAUGAGCCCUAAAACAUAUCAAUGCUUAUUGAGUUCCAAUCAAAUGGAAAACCAACAUGAUGCCACGUUUAAACUACCUAUUAUAAAAUAAACAAUGUGGUCCCUCUGACUCAUGAGUAUUCUCACUUGAUGAAAAUACUCUAUUCACGUCAUCACUCUCUCCAACAGAAAUGAUUCUUUAAAUGCUCUGUCAAUAAAUGUAUUUACCAGGAGGACUGUUGAGUGUGGAACAACUAGAUGCAGAAGUAGAAGCCGAUAAUUCCGCCUCUUGCUGCGGCAGCCGGGGUGUGCAGAUGGCGGGUCGAAGUGGAUUGUGUACGAGAGCUUCUCGAUUAACACACCCCAACUUCCCCCGGAGAAUCCAGAGCCAAUAUUAGCCUCGUCGGUUGGAGGGGAGUGAAAAACGCUGUUAUUUUAUGUUGGAUUUGUCCUGCUGCUCACCGUCCACCAUCCAGUCACAAAUGCACAGAAUGUUUUCACUGGAAUUUUCCUUGGAAAAUUGCCACUCUUCUUUUAGUUUUUAAGAAGAAUAUUUAGCAUUAAUUUCUAAGUUGAUGCAGUGAAAUCGUUAGCAGAAUUUCCAAAGUAACAUAAUCCAUUUGUAAGCUUUUUGACCCCUUAUUUUAGCUCUGUUUUGGUCUCCACCAUCUACUGAUGGCUUUAUUAAGCAGAUGACUGACUCUCUACGUUCAAAUCUUACCACGUGAAAUAAAUAAUUGAUCAUCACCACUUUGAGACGUCUCACUAGAGUGACGCAACUGUUCCGCCGUAACUCCAAUGUGGCUCCACCACCCGCACGGCAACAAAAGGCCAAGAGACAGGCGAGUGUCACCGGAAGCGGAGUGGCCGAGCCGCCAGGCCGCCGCUCCCCCCCAACCACAACAACAACGGCCUCAUUGAUGGGAUGGGCAAACGGCUGGCACUGAGCACACAGCAUACGUGCGCACACAAACCACUCGCCUCAGCACAAGGCUCCUGCUCAACUUCUUGCCCCCCCCCAUCCGCCCCGCUGUGUCUGUUCUCCUGAGUCGCUCGUCUUUGCUCCGAAUCCUCCACGUCAGAUGGGGAAAGAGGGGGUGGGGGGGGGGGGGGUUGUCGUGGGCGGCUAUGAAUAUGCGUUCGGGCAUUUCUGGAGCCGAACUUUGGCCCACUCUGCAUUCCUCGCCUUGGUUCCACCGUCUCCCUCAUCCGUCCCUCUGAGAUCAACGCUUUGAUGUCUAAUGUCAAUGUUGUUGAAAUGCUGCAACGUGGUUAUGUGGAUUACAGAUCUACACUACUUUGAUUAGGGUUUGUCAGACAUCAGCGUCUUAAAGAGCCUCAAUCACACACAUCCAACGCAAGACCAUUUGAAUUCUAGAGAAAGCUUCAGGGCAUCAUUGAUCUUUCAAGCCGUAUUAAUAUUUCCCCUGCGGAGGAAUUUCUGUGGGCAGGGACGCACAAGCGUGGAUUCACUCCGAUGUCCACCUAGUUUACAUGACAAAAGUGACAAAGGCAACUUUUCUUUGCCACUCUCAUGUUAGGGUGAGUCACUGCGGCCCAAAGCCCUCCAGGCCUGCGGCCAGAUGACGGCAUGGCCCGAGCGGCCGAUGACCUCGAGGGAAUCCCGCCGUCAACAAGAGCUGACGGGGAGAGCGCUGCCGCGACGCUCGGGAGCCUCGAUCAAACGAAUACGCAGCGUGCCACACCGCCCACGCACACACACACAGACACACACACACACGCAGCGCGAGGCGAGCAAACACACUACGCAGCGUGGGGUGUGCAGAUAUGUGACCUUCCUCCGCUGAGUGGAAGCUCAGCCUGCUCUAUUGUCCUUCUGGGACCGUAGGCAUUGUGUGCACAUGAAGCGUGCGGCCGAGUGAGGGUCCAGACGAACACACUUAUGUCACGUUUGUCUCCGUCAAUGAGAAAGAAGCCAUGUGGUCAACAUUUUCUGCCUUUUUCCAAUGUCUAAAGAGCAACGCGAUGCGGGGAGAAAAAUCGGCUCCGCUCAAUCAGGCCACGACACCUUUUAUGAGUCAUCUUCCAUUAUUGAGAUGUCUCACGCCAACCAAAGGGCUCGCACAAACAAUCGCCUGUGCCAAGAAGAACAUUUUCAUUGUGAAUGUCGUCCGUGGCCCGUGUACAGGAGUUUUGCUCGGGCUCUUGGACACGGGGCGGGUGUGGUGGGGGAGAAUGGGAACCUUGUAUGCAGAACACUGCCCAUUGUGUGAAAGUGGAGGAAUUUUUUUCUCCGGAACAGGCCCGCUCACAGCUUGCGUUCUGCUGUUUGCCCGUGACGCGCGUUGGUCCAACGCAAGCUAAGGCCCCCCCCCCACACACACACACUAAAAUACUCAGAGGAGCAGAUGGUCUUAAAACAUGACCGCUCCCCCUCCCACACACACCGCCCUGAGAACAGCGCACACUCGCUUCAAACACAACCACGGAGACGUGCCAACGUUCAGUCACACGGUCUGUUGCCGAAGGCACCGCGCAGGGCGCCGGCAGGAGGAAAAGAUCCACACUUCAGCUCAUCAGAUGCAAUAAAACCGUUGCCUCUUACAGUAGAUGCUUUGAAGUGCUCGAUGCGUUAAGUAUUUAUAUUUUCUAUGCCCACAAAGUAGGUGGUUGUUAACUUAUUGAAACGAGGGAGCAGGUGUCAUAAACCACCUGGAAGAUUACCUUUCUUGGUAUUUAUUGGCCCGUGCAUGUGGCUCUGAGUCUACAUUUAUUUGUUUGCUUUCCCUUUAAUUCUCUGUUGGUUUGGCCGCUCGUAUCAGAAUGCCUUUUUUCACCUGGCAUUCCCGGCCCCGGCGGGCAGAUGGUGAGCCACAGGCCUCCUCUCUCGUGAGAGCGCCCUCCCUUCCGCUCUCAACAAACAGAACCGUCACCUGUUCAGCCUCCCAUCUCCACUCUCAGAGUGGGACAACGAGAAAAAAUUUCCCAAAUCUGACAGAAACUGAAUGUUGUUUUAUAUGAAAUAUUGGCUUAAAGUCAAAGCUGUAGUUAAAAGGACAACAUUGUCGCAAGUGACAUGAUGAUUCAGUCUGACUGAAGGGGUUGGGACAGUUGGGCAGUUAAAAUUGAACAAUUAGGCCAUAAUCGAGAAUUAAAAUGACUCCACCAUCACUGUGAUUUUCAUAAAAACACUUUCCCUUUCUGAAUCUGCAUCAUUUGUUUUCUCUGUGAACCUUCUAUCUGCAAAUGGGGUGAAAGAUACCUUGAACCAUAUUUCAUAAUAAUGCUUGUUGGUUGGAUGCGUCAUCAGUGGCUCCAGCGUCACAUGUGUGGUUGUGCUAAGAUCACAGCAACGACUCAUCGCUAAUGACACCGGCAACCGAAACGGACCAAUUAGGAUUGGCCGGGCUUUUUAGGCACGCACACCAAACAUAUUUUGUUAUGCACACAUUCACAAAAACACGCAAACACACACACACACACACACACACACACACGUCGUCACUCAUCCAACUCUGGAUCUUUUCCCUCAUUCAUCAGCACGUCUAUGAAGAGUCACACAAACAAGGCAACACUCCCCCUGAUUGCCGGCGUUUGACCCUCAACAACAAAAAUAAACAAAUAGUACACAGAUAGACGAUGAUGGAUGGAAGUUAUCACUCAUUAAUUCCCAGCGCUCGUUAACCCCCACCCACCCCCCCCAUUAUUUUUGCUUCACGUUCCAAAAGCUCCGGAAAGCAUCAUGCAGAGUAACGAAUCAGAGCUGCUCACCUGUGUAGGUGAGCGUGGGCGACCUACGACCUCCAGUAGCUCCAGCAGCCUUCCCUCUGAGUCUCACGCGCAAAGCCCCCUCGCCAGCCAGACCUCUCGCCACUCUCUGUACCAAGCCCCAACGGUGGGGAGUCAACCCGCCACCAACACCUCCUCCUCCAUCAUCAUCAUCAUCACCAUCACCAUCAUCACCACCCCCCCGUAGGAAAACCAGUCCUUCAGUGUAGCGGCAUUGUUCUGAGGCUUCGCCCUAAGGCUCGGCCAUUCAUAAAUACACGGGGGGGCCACAAAGGGCCACACUGUUACGCCCGCCCCAGCAGAUAAGGGAGAGGCUUUGAGCUCUGAGGCCUUUCUAUCCCACACGGACAGUCGCUGGACGCUGGAUGGAACUGAGCAUAUUUGGUCAUUUCAGACAUAUGGACACUUUUUUGUUUCGAGGUUUUUGUAACAAAAGACAGGAAGUGAGUUUUAGAGAGGCUGAUGACGGGCGCCAUUAUGAGGGGAAGCAUUGAGGACGCCUUUGAGUCUAAUCUGUUACUCCUAAAGAAACUUAAGAGUCGAGAGAAUCUGAAGAACCAUCACAUUGAGCGCGACGUAACGGUUCAAGAUAAAUCGAGUGCCUUCCCACCUUCUGGGCAGCAAAAGGUUUCCAACGAUUUCACUCAAAGGAAAAAAUCAACUCACAGAAAGUUAAUUUGUUUUGAUUUUUAAAACCUCAAACUGCAAUUACUACUGUAGCUUGAUUUAAAAAUCCAAAACGCAUUACAUAGCAUUAAUAAGUUUGACAAGAAAAAUAACUAACAUGAUGUAAAAAACGAUAGUCGACCAAUGGCUGCUAGCCAUUCUGCUAGCUAAAAGCUGCCGAGGGACGGGAUGCCGUGAAGAAUCUAUAACCAUGUUUCAAUAAGCUCCUAAUCAGAGGAAACAGGCAAUAAAACGUGAGGCAUCAGCAGGAAAAAGAGGAGAGCCGGCACUCACUAUUACAUUGUUAUAAUACAUCAUAACGUUGUUAGCUCGCGCAGCUAGCAUUUUGUCAAAAUGUCUGUUUUCUGAUCACUAAAAUAAUUCUUUGAUGUACGCCUACUGAUAUCUCACAAUAUAGGCCAGUUGCAGGCACCUUUAUAGCAUUUCAGCUCUCUACCCCGAAAUGCUUCAUAAAAGUUACAUGACGAACUGAAUGGUUGAAAACACAUAAUUACAAUAACUGCGCUGCAUUACUGUUCACGUCCCGGUCUCGACUAAUACUAACUAAUAACUACAUUUGCUGGGCUCCAGGAUAAAGCCCAGCGAAUUAUUUGAACUUGAUGAGUUCCACCUGGAGACUAAUUUAAAGGCCGAUUUACGCCUUCACCCCAUUGUUGUUUAGUCGUUUUCAGGUGAUUGAACAUCAACUUCGGGGUAACCGUCCCACUACUAAGCCCAUACGUGGCAUUAACAGUAUUCACACAGUUGCAUGGUGCUGUGACCGAGUCAUGAAACAACCCCCCCACCCUGUGGACACAGUGGCCAUUGUCUCCCGAGGCCUUCUGGGACGGAGCAGCUCAGCUGGAGCCUGACACCGCACAACACUGGGAAGUCCAUGCGCACAGAUAAUUGUCUUUUAAUCAAAACAAUCCCCUUUUCUCCGGCCUCUUAUUGGACCUUUCUGUUGCGGUUUGGAGCUCUUGUGGCUUCAUGGAGGGACGAUGGGUCCCAUACGGGUCCUGAUCUGGGAAAGGGUUGCACGAUAAUACCUUCUUCACAUGGUCCUCCUGCUUGUUUCACUGUGGAUUUUAUGAGAUAUCCUUUAUUUGUUUUAGACCUUUUUCUUUAUGGAUCCAAGGUAAUGUGAGAUCUUCUCACAGGCAGUGGUCUUCUGUCUCUCCCCGAGUCCUCUGCCAGAGGAAACAAGGCCAGACAAGUUCUUAGCUUGUUUUAGACCUUUUUCUUUAUGGAUCCAAGGUAAUGUGAGAUCUUCUCACAGGCAGUGGUCUUCUGUCUCUCCCCGAGUCCUCUGCCAGAGGAAACAAGGCCAGACAAGUUCUUAGCUCUUUUCGAAAAACAAGUUUAUAUCAGAAAGUCUUAUUCCAUGUCCUGUUUGUUUUUUUUGUUCACUCAACGUUUCAUAUUUUUAAUUUGAGUUAUUUGAAACACUUUGUAUUGAUAAGUGCUUUAUCUAUUUAUCUAACGCUUUUUAACUAGUAAACUAAUAAAUCCUUUAAAAACAAUAUGCGUCGAUAUCUCAAACAUUAAUGAACUCAGUGAUCAAGCCUGAUUAAAUAUGUUGAUAAUACUAAUUGUAUUAUCAACAUAUUUAAUCGUUUAAUUGUUGUAAUUAUAUAAUCAAACUUCUAUCUGGUGCAACUUGAUUGGAUCCUGAAAAGUAAGGUCACGACAGUUGGGUUUGAAAGUUAAAGGGGAGAUGCAAACCUCUUUUAGUUUUGACAAGUUGAGUCAUCCGAUAGGUGACGCCAGGUCAUGUGACUCAGAAGCAGAUCUCUGCAUAAAGCAGGUGGUGUUCAUUCAAAGGGGCACCGCAAUCGGCCCUGGUGCCGAAGCAUCUCAAACACCGGUCCAGCUGGAUUCCAAUUAAAACAUUAUUCUAGGAGGUUAGCAUUCGAAGCUUCUUACUUUUACAUUCAAACAUGCAAAAAAGAAAAAAAACUUUAGAUUGAAAUGUAUAUAUUUUGAAUACCGUCAAGACGAUCACAGAACAUCAUUAGGAAGAGAGAACGUGUUUAGCCAUUGCUAGCUGUUGCUAACGUUUCCUCGCACGAGGCGACACCAAAUGGAUCCGGUUUAGAAGAUAGUCACUAUCACUAGUAACAGCAAUAGUGAUGUGGGAGACAACCAGUAAACGCUCCAAAGCUUGUGGCUAACCGGGCAGCAGAGUGGGUGUGCUCUCCUUUUAAAACCCUAAAUAAAUACCUCCAAAAUGCAUUGUUGAGAAAUGCAUUGUUUUUUUCCAGAUGACAUUGAUGGUGUGUGUGUGUGUGUGUGUGUGUGUGUGUGUCGUAAAACACACGGUAGGAUCUGCAUGGUGUAAACAUACACAUGCUUUCACGGUACUAUGUAGACAUGGAGGCAAGUGGAAGGGGGGUUGCUGCUGGGAUUGUGCUGGACAGAGACUGGUGACAGAACAACGCACUGAUAAUGGGUCCAUUGUCCCCCUGUCCACUCCACUGGGCAGCACUGGAGACCUGCCUUUGGAAAUGAUGCAUUCUGUACUUCUACGGCUCCACUGGACGAGCAUUUCUGCACCAAGCAAACACUCGAGUUGAGGUUUCCAUGGAGAAAUAGAUGGACAACAAAUGACGAGCAGCAGGCUUGAACAUUGCUCUGGUUUGGAAGACAAUUUGGGUUUUCAAUAGAACAUAAAGGUCCAAAAUUUAAAUUCCACACUCAAUAUUAACAUUUAACUGUGGGCAUUUCAACGGACAACAUUAAACUUGACAUGUCUUUACUUACCAGAAUUAAAUUAAUUGUAUUGGCUUUUUAGAUUAGUGGCUACUGUGUACAACAACAACGAGGGAUUAUUGACCACAGAUUUGAUAUCGUCACCACGCUGCUGUUUUACUCCCAAAGGUGCAACUAAUCCCAAACGUGUCCUACUUGUUCCCAUUUUGCGCGCCAACUGCCAUUUGGGAGUCGCGGGGUGGUUGAUACUCAAACCCGAUUCCUUUUACUUCAUUAUAUUAUAGAGAUUGUUCUGAGUCAUUUUUGCAGCACUCGUCUCCAAAUGUGUCACCGUGAGUCUUAAAGUUCUCCGUUUUAACUACAAUGACACACAAACAUCUGAAGCCAGCAGAUUGACAUUGGUUACACUAUUACACAAGCUGUGGAGACAUACGAUAUGAAACAGGAUAAUCAGGUGAUCAUUUGUCAUGUUAUUCAUUUAGUUCAUAGUAUGAAGUAGCGUCAGAUGAACGUCUUAUUUCCUCUGUAUACUUUUGAGCUGAACGAUGUAGAUAUUGUACAAAAAUAAAAUGAUGUGAAGGAGCUAGGAAUUUAACCCCACAUGUGCACCACACAGCUGUGACAUAUCUGCCCCUUUAGUGAAUUAAUAUAACGCAGAAGAGAAAAGACAGAUAAAAGACUUUUGGCUUAGAGUUCAAACAAAAUGCAACAUGUUGAAGAUUUAUGCAUUUAAAAUAAUAUAAUGAACGAUUUAAUGAUGAGAGAGCAGCAGAGCUCUUACCUUAUCAGCUGAUCUGAAGCCAGUGAGGCGCUCAGAGAGGAGUCUGUUUCUCUCUUUCUCUCUCUCUCUCUCGCGCUCUCUGCAGAUUGGGUCUUUGGCAUACAGAACCUGUGAUUAAACACGGGGGGGCCUUAAAGCUUUUACAUUCACCCAUUAUUACGAUCUGGAAAGACGAGGACAUCAACAACAUCUGGGAUCACAUAUAACCUGAAAAUGGACACGUGAGGUGAGCUGGAAAACAGUCACAGGUAAUUCCCACUUCCGGGUGAUAAGAGAAGAAACUUAAGUUUGUAAAUAUGUUAAUUGACCUUUUAUCAGAUUCUAAAUGUAUUUUUGUAAUAUGUGGUUACUGUAGCAGAUACUUUCCUGCUUUGCUAAUCAGAUUACCGAAUAUAAAAAUGAUGGUGUUAAAAGCAAUAUAAUUCACAUAACCGUAGGGGGUAACAAACUGAAUCAGCUCUAAAUUCUGCACUCUUAAUAUCGUUUUUGUAACAUCUGGGUGCAUAAUGGUUCCCAAUGGGGCGCUUUUUUUUAAUUACAUUUGGUGCCUGAUGAUUCAUAAUAGUUUCACACAUUUAUGCAAGUGGUGUUGGUUAAAUAUACCAUUUCAACAAUGAUAUAUUGUAAAUGAGGCAGUUCGUAUGUCAAAUCUUUUUUUAACUCGUCUGAUUACUGCAGGAAUUACAGUUUGAUGUUUGGUUUUGAAAGCUCCCCCUCACAUUAGCCUCGGAGAGGACACAUUUCGGGUGAAAAAGUGUGUGAAAAAAAGAGAGCGUGAAGUCAGCGGCAGGCUGGAAAGUGUAGGAUUCAGCUUUUUCGUAACCUUUAAGUGACCAUAAAAGUAAGAUCUCAUCCUCUGCUGCAUUUUGAUUGAUCCUUUGGCUUUUGUAAUCUAUCCGACGAUAGAAGUGUGAAACAACCCCCCCCCCCAUUGUCUCCCCAAGAUGAGAUGGAAUCAGGGUUUCUCAUCAGGUGACUAUAAAAAGGAGCAGGCACUCAGGUAAAUGGGUUUUAUUGGGGAUUUUCACCGAUGAUAUGAAACUUUGAAUAAAACCCUAAAGCAGCCUUUGGCUCCUAAAUCACAAUUACCGUGAACUGAAAUGAUAUUUUUUGACACCAGUGGUACUGUGUCUCCUCUGCUUCCUCCAGCCUACACAAGAAAUAUAUUCAGUAUAACAAUCGCACAAAAGGUCUGCA